UGGGGAAUAUUGGACAAUGGGCGCAAGCCUGAUCCAGCCAUGCCGCGUGAGUGAUGAAGGCCUUCGGGUUGUAAAGCUCUUUUGGCGGGGACGAUGAUGACGGUACCCGCAGAAUAAGCCCCGGCAAACUUCGUGCCAGCAGCCGCGGUAAGACGAAGGGGGCAAGCGUUGUUCGGAAUUACUGGGCGUAAAGGGCGCGUAGGCGGCGCAUUAAGUCAGGCGUGAAAGCCCUGGGCUCAACCUGGGAGUGGCGCUUGAUACUGGUGUGCUAGAGAGCGGGAGAGGAUGGUGGAAUUCCCAGUGUAGAGGUGAAAUUCGUAGAUAUUGGGAAGAACACCGGUGGCGAAGGCGGCCAUCUGGACCGUAUCUGACGCUGAGGCGCGAAAGCGUGGGGAGCAAACAGG
rnacentral:rRNA from 1 species